GAUGAACGCUGGCGGCGUGCCUAAUACAUGCAAGUCGAGCGAACAGACGAGGAGCUUGCUCCUCUGACGUUAGCGGCGGACGGGUGAGUAACACGUGGAUAACCUACCUAUAAGACUGGGAUAACUUCGGGAAACCGGAGCUAAUACCGGAUAACAUAUUGAACCGCAUGGUUCAAUAGUGAAAGACGGUUUUGCUGUCACUUAUAGAUGGAUCCGCGCCGCAUUAGCUAGUUGGUAAGGUAACGGCUUACCAAGGCGACGAUGCGUAGCCGACCUGAGAGGGUGAUCGGCCACACUGGAACUGAGACACGGUCCAGACUCCUACGGGAGGCAGCAGUAGGGAAUCUUCCGCAAUGGGCGAAAGCCUGACGGAGCAACGCCGCGUGAGUGAUGAAGGUCUUCGGAUCGUAAAACUCUGUUAUUAGGGAAGAACAAAUGUGUAAGUAACUAUGCACGUCUUGACGGUACCUAAUCAGAAAGCCACGGCUAACUACGUG
rnacentral:rRNA from 1 species